UGGUCUGGUCGCAAGGCACCAGCACACGCGCAAAGGCAAAGCAGAUACUGCUUCGUGCGGCUUCAUGGAGGCACUCAAGCGCGAGUGCUGGUUUCACAGGGAGCAGGCGACUCCCCAUUCCACGAAGAUUGACACUGCGGUGCUUGACGGGUACGUUGCGCGCGGUCGAGUUGCGCUUGCGGCCGUGAAGCUGUCGGACGGACGUGAUGUUUCCUCCGUAACCUUCAAGGGGGCCUCUCAGGGGGAUGUCAAUGGCCUGCCGUGUGGCGCACGGUCGCUGCUGAUCGACCGCGCUGAUGGCAGCAUUGUGUGUCGCGGCAUCAACAAGUUCUUCGACCUAAAUGAGGUGGGUGACGACUGGCUGAGUGAUUCCUCCUUGUGGACAGACGCGUACUGUAUGUGGGCUGUGCGCAAAAUGGCUGGUUUUAUUGUCACGCUCUUCUCGCUCGACGGCGUGCGGCUGGAGGUGAUGAGCAAGCACGUUCUCGUUGGCCCUCACGUCGACGCAGCGCGCGAGCUACUGGAGCGAGUGAGUGAGACGCGCCGAGCUCGAUUGGCGGCAGAUUUAUUUGAAUGGGGAGCGUGCGCAUGCUGCGAGUGCAUUCGACGCGCACAGGAUUACCAUCACCCGGUGCUGGAGUUGCAACAGUUUGACCAGCAAAUUGUCCUGAUUGCGGUGCAGAGGCGCACCCAGCUGCGGGAGGAAAGCUUAUGCUUCUCGGAGGUGACGACCUUGGCCGAGCGAUGGGGUCUCGGCUGCGCUCCAGGUGUGGCCGUGCCGAACAGUGAUGCGCUGCGCUGUGUGUUCGCGGCCACGGCGUCGUGGAAUGCGACGUACACCCCCUUUGACAUGUGCCCACAGCUUGCGGAGGGGUUUGUGCUGCUAAUCGAGAUGGCAGGGCCGACGGCGGCCCCAGGGCAGCGAUGGUGCCUCCCAUUGCGACUCAAGCUCAAGACGGCCAAGUAUGUUGUGCUGCGAGCCUUCCGAUCUCUCGUGUACGGCGACUCGCGCCCACAGAGCUAUGUCUAUCAUCAGGCUCUGCUGGGGUGGCUUCAGCUCAGAAGCGCUGCGGAGGUUCGACGGCGUGUGGAGGAGGUAGGAGUGCAUGCCUUGAACAACGAUUUCGAGUCGGGCUUAUCGGCGCAGCAGCGGGUGCGACACCGAGACUCCCAAGAGACGGUCGGCGACGCGCUUGCUCGCCUCCAGCGCACGACGGCGCUCAUUGCCUGCCCUCGCGGUCGGUGUCCCCUCACGGUGGUUGUGCUUUGCGGCUUACCGGGGGCCGGUAAGUCGACGCUGGCGAUGGUGCUCUCCCGCCUGCUUGCCUCACAGGAGGCGUCUCCGUUCAGCUUUGUUGUGCACCUGAGUCGCGACGCAGUGGGCUGCACCGUGGCGGCUGACCACGGAAUCACAGACGCGAGCAGCAAACACAAGCAGCGACGGCUUGGCGCGCUUGUUCACCAGACCCUGUGCGAUCAGAUGCGGGAGGUGGCGUGCUUCUCCGCAGAGACGGAGCAGAGCGGUCUUCUCCUUCUCGACGCGUGCAACGCGACGCAGAAAAGUCGACGUAUAUGGCGGCAAUGCUUCCCGAUAACGUUACACAAGUACGAGGUAGCUUACGUGGAGUGCUCGGACGCCAGUGCGAUGGUGCAGCGUGCCGCCAGGCGUGACGGCCACGAGGUGCUGCUCAGCGCUGCCGAGGCGCAGCAGGCGCUCUAUGCAGUGCGCAAAAAGUUUCAGCCUCCUUCUGUGGAGGAGGCUGCGUGGCGCGUGGACACGACGGGGUGCUGCGUAGAAGAGGCGGCAGCUAGCUUGUGCACCCAUCUCGCGGAAAGAGCGCCUCCAUCGAGCUGCGCCGGCUGCUGCCGAAUUCUGACAAUCUCAGCGCUACGGGAUGAGAGACGUGAGGGCCAUGCGACUCUGCUGCACAAUCUGCUCGGCAUAUCGGAGACCACCACCGAGGCACUUGCCAGCAUGGUAUUAUCCGUGAACUCGGGCCCAAAGGUGGCGAGGGCAACUUCUCUACAGCUGCGGCUCGACUGCUCAACAGAGGCGCUUCGCUGCGCUGCCGCGCAGCUGAUUUCUUCCUCCCUCGACGAGCCGCGCGAGCCAGCCCUGUCUUUUGCCUCUGUCGGUCGUCUUCUCUUUCGCGGCGUCUCGGCAGCACUUCGAGGUUUCUCAUGGGCACCGUCAUUCCCAGUUACUGGGCACGUAACCAGGGGGCAUUUAAAGUGGUUGCGUGGCUGGCUGCUGCGCGGGCGCGAUCCGAGUGGGCCUGCGGAGUUGGAGAAAGCGCUACGGGAGCGAUUCGCGGUGGUGCCGGCGAGGCCACACGUGACACUACUCUACAUCAACUCUGUAGCGGGGGCCACAAGUGCCAAUCAGGCCAUGUCCGAGUAUCUCUCCCAGGCUGGCAUGCACCUCGGCCAGGAAGUGACGGUGAAGGUUACAUCUCUGCUUUUGGACCGCCAUGCCUUGAGCUUCGGGGUUACACUGACAGGUGGGCAGCAGGUGCAAGGGCAGAGUAUGCAUGGCACCAGGGGCACUGCCACCCGCCUGCACAUCACAGUGGGCACCGCACCCGGGGUCGCUGCCUCCUAUGCUGGGAACAUGUUCGCCAUAUUCGAUGUCCUGCAGGCGGAGAAUGAGUCACUAGAGACAGAGCGACGGGAGUCGUUUCGGGCAGUAAACCGAAGCCAACGAAAGUACCACAACUUUGUUGAGUACCAGCUUAGCACUGCGCUGCCAGUGCGUGGCGUGGUGGAGGUGUGCGGCUCAUGAACAAGUUGUGGUCGGCGAGUAAUGAUGCAGCGAGAGAAGGGGGAUGGCUGCUCCUCUUGUGCGACGCGAAACACUUUGCUUGCUUUCCUUGUGUCUGUGUGUGUGCCUGCUGUUGUCGCGAUUGUGACUGCACGCGUGCGCUGGGUGCUGCGUGUGUCUUGAAACACCUCACAGUCACACAGUUCUGUGAUCCGCGGAUCGGUCAAGCACCUUAUCUACCGAACAGCGCUCGCCAUGAAUGACUUGACGCUUUCCGUUUCUUUUUGGAAGACUCGGCGCGCCUCCAGCAUGGCGAAGAUGAU
rnacentral:misc_RNA from 1 species